CAGUCGGUAGAGCACCAGACUCUUAAUCUGGCUGUCGCGGGUUCGAGCCCCGCAUCGGGCU
rnacentral:tRNA from 1 species